GUGGUUUGUUAAUUGAUUGGUGCUGUCUCCUGGGACACAGGGAGUGGAGCCCUUGUUCUGUCAUCACAUACCUGGUGUUUCCAGGAACAGAGGAUUGCAGGAAUGCCAGAUAACACCAUUCCUUGUGUCUCUCAGGCUGUUCCACAUGUGAAACAGGAAAGUCCAAUGGCUUUAGUAGAGAUGCUUGGUGGUUUUUGUUCCACUAUCCUGCCCGAGUGGUGGUGUGUGAAAUGUGGGAACUCAUUGCAAUAAAUAUGGAU